UUCCCACUCAACCUUGUGCAAGCUCCUAUUUCUUCUUCUUCUUCUUCUUCUUCUUCUUCUUCUUCUUCUUCUUCUUCCUCCUCCUCCUCCUCCUCCUCCUCCUCCUCUUCUUCUUCUUCUUCCUCCGUCUUUUGUAUUUCUCUCUCCAAUGACUCUCGCUGCUGUAAUUUUGCUAAAAGAUUGAAAUCAUCGUCAAUGUUAACUGGGGUAAAUUCAACGUUGUAUUGUCAAAUAUGCAAAAGGAAGGACCGAAAUUGCGUAGAAGAGUCAUAGGUGAAAGAAUAUUUUAGAAAGAAGGGAGUUUUAUGCAACAGAUCAAACAUUCUGCAGUCGAUUUCCUUGUUGCAGUUUUUUAGAAUUUGUUCCUUGCAGGUACUUAAAGUCAAACCACAUCAGGUUGUACUCAUCUUCGUCAUUGAGUUUUUUUGCUCUAUAAAUAGCUCCAUAAGUAAUUCCAUAGAAAGUACUACACAUUAAAGAAGCUUGUUGAUUUGCAUCUAUAAGUUCUAUAAAAUCUUUAAUGUAUUGAUGAUUUGGAAAUUGAGUAAUAGAAGCAAAAAACAAUUGGUUUGGAGACAGUAUGUAUUAUAAAAAUAUUUGCACAAAUUAUUCAAAAAACACAAUCUAUAUUAAUAAUAAAAUUUAUUGAUAAGCAAACCUAACUUGAAUUUCAACCUAUUUUCAUCAUAAUGAAUAUAAAUACAAACAAUGGAAAAUGAAAAUUUAACUGCGGACGCACGGGGAGCUUACUCCAUGGAGAUGGAGAAGUCUCCGUGCUGCAUGGAGUCUAGCUACCAUUUCAAGACCAAAUUGAUAGAGACCCAUAUGCUCAAUAGAUGCAGCAUGAAGAGUAGGUUCCUAUAAUAGUGGUCCGCGAUCAUGUAUUUCAUCAUCGGCUCCGAAAUUUGAGUUUGAGACCUACGUCUUCAUUGUGUCCGAAGGAGCUUGCAUCAAAUGUUGAAUAUAUGCAUGAGUUGUUGAUUGGGGACCAUGUUCUAAUGCAACUGGAUCUUUGAUGCUCGAACUCUUCAAAAUAGUUGGAGUACUCGUGUCGGAUACGACACGACAUGGGUAUGGGUAUGAGAUAUGUGUCAGAUCCUCCAAGUUUCAACCGAACACUUCGUCAUUUUUUGCUUUUUUUCUUUUUUUCUCUUUUCCUUUUCUACUCUCUAUAAAUCUAGUGUUAUCUCUAAGAGAGGAAAGAAAGGCGACGGUGCUAGAUUUUCCUUUUUCUUUUU